UGUGAGGCUGGGGUAGGGCAGCUACGGGCAGAGGAACUGGGGACUGAGGAGCUGCAGAGACCUGAUGGGGAGGAUACAGGGAAGGAGAUGGAAAAAGAGGACAGAUUUGUGGCAUGACGGGAGGGAUCCAAACAGGCCUCUGGAGCCUUGGGGAGACACUGACUGCAGCAGCAUUUAUAGCUUUACUGUGAGCUUGCAGUCCUGGGGGAUUUGGGUUUUCUCCUGCGUGCUCCAUGGAUCACCAAACUCAAGAUACUCUGCCACUUUGUCUCCUGUGUCCUGAUGACAUCUUUAUAUUGAUUUCUCUCUUCCUGUGGAGAAGGAAGCAUCUAUGGGGAAUAUAUACCUAGGAAUAUGUUAGAAUGGUUUUCCCUUAACAGGAGAAGCCACUUUGUUUCUGUAAAGGAAGUAGCAAAACCUCAUUUGCUUCAUGCUCUAAUUUUUGAAGACUGCCUAGAUGAGCUGUGAAUGUGCCUUAGGUUCACUAAAGAAUUUUUGAAAGACUUGCAGGAUACCGAACAACUCCAGUGCUGCUGUUAAUGUUGAUGAAAUUGUACUGAGCAACACCAAAGCAUCCUGAGGGCAUGUGAUGUACAUGACUCUAUAGAAAUCACAAAUUAGUAUGUAAGUCCAAAGGUUGGUUUAAUAAAGUUGGUGCUCCCU